rnacentral:rRNA from 1 species
GCGGAGAAUGCAUCAAUGUAUUCUUAGCGGCGGACGGGUGAGUAACGCGUGGGUAACCUGCCUUAUACAGGGGGAUAACACAGGGAAACUUGUGCUAAUACUGCAUAACAUAUCGAAGGGGCAUCCUUUUGAUAUCAAAGGAGCGAUCCGGUAUAAGAUGGACCCGCGUCCGAUUAGCUGGUUGGAGGUGUAACGGACCACCAAGGCGACGAUCGGUAGCCGAACUGAGAGGUUGAUCGGCCACGUUGGGACUGAGACACGGCCCACAUUCCUACGGGAGGCAGCAGUGGGGAAUAUUGCGCAAUGGGGGGAACCCUGACGCAGCAACGCCGCGUGAAGGAAGAAGGUUUUCGGAUUGUAAACUUCUUUGAGCAGGGACGAAUAAUGACGGUACCUCAAAAACAAGCCACGGCUAACUACGUGCCAGCAGCCGCGGUAAUACGUAGGUGGCGAGCGUUGUCCGGAUUUACUGGGUGUAAAGGGCGCGUAGGCGGGAAUGUAAGUCAGAUGUGAAAUUCCGGGGCUCAACCCCGGAUCUGCAUCUGAAACUAUGUUUCUUGAGUGCUGGAGAGGAAAGCGGAAUUCCUAGUGUAGCGGUGAAAUGCGUAGAUAUUAGGAGGAACACCAGUGGCGAAGGCGGCUUUCUGGACAGUAACUGACGCUGAGGCGCGAAAGCGUGGGGAGCAAACAGGAUUAGAUACCCUGGUAGUCCACGCUGUAAACGAUGGAUACUAGGUGUAGGGGGCAUCGACCCUCUGUGCCGGAGUUAACACAAUAAGUAUUCCACCUGGGGAGUACGGCCGCAAGGUUGUUGUCG